rnacentral:rRNA from 1 species
GGGCUGCAGUGGGGAAUCUUGCACAAUGGGCGAAAGCCUGAUGCAGCGAUUCCGCGUGGAGGAUGACGCAUUACGGUGUGUAAACUCCUUUUCUGGUGGAAGACGAAUGACGGUACACCAGGAAUAAGGGACGGCUAACUACGUGCCAGCAGCCGCGGUAAUACGUAGGUCCCAAGCGUUAUCCGGAUUUACUGGGCGUAAAGUGUACGUAGCCUGAUAUGUAAGUCUGUUUUCAAAUACCUCGACUCAAUCGAGGAAAGGGAAUAGAUACUGCAUAUCUAGAGAUAUUUGGGGGUUAGUGGAAUUUCCGGUGGAGCGGUGAAAUGCGUUGAUAUCGGAAAGAACGCCAAAAGCGAAAGCAGCUAACUACAAUACAUCUGACGGUGAGGUACGAAAGUUUGGGGAGCAAACGGGAUUAGAUACCCCGGUAGUC